AUACGGAGGGUGCAAGCGUUAAUCGGAAUUACUGGGCGUAAAGGGCGCGUAGGCGGUCUAUCAAGUCAGUUGUGAAAUCCCACGGCUCAACCGUGGAGGUGCAUCUGAAACUGAUAGACUUGAGUAUGGGAGAGGAAAGUGGAAUUCCCGGUGUAGAGGUGAAAUUCGUAGAUAUCGGGAGGAACACCAGUGGCGAAGGCGACUUUCUGGACCAAUACUGACGCUGAGGCGCGAAAGCGUGGGGAGCAAACAGGAUUAGAAACCCCUGUAGUCC
rnacentral:rRNA from 1 species